GGAGGCAUAGAUCAGUGCUAGAGUGUGUGCUUAAUGCUUAGCAUGCACAAGGCCCUGGGUUCUAUCCCCAGUGUUGCGG
rnacentral:tRNA from 1 species